rnacentral:rRNA from 1 species
UACGUAGGGUGCAAGCGUUAAUCGGAAUUACUGGGCGUAAAGCGUGCGCAGGCGGCUAUUCAAGACAGGUGUGAAAUCCCCGGGCUCAACCUGGGAACUGCAUUUGUGACUGCAUAGCUGGAGUGCGGCAGAGGGGGAUGGAAUUCCGCGUGUAGCAGUGAAAUGCGUAGAUAUGCGGAGGAACACCGAUGGCGAAGGCAAUCCCCUGGGCCUGCACUGACGCUCAUGCACGAAAGCGUGGGGAGCAAACAGG